rnacentral:rRNA from 1 species
AUUGAACGCUGGCGGCAGGCCUAACACAUGCAAGUCGAACGAGUGGCGGACGGGUGAGUAAUGUCUGGGAAACUGCCUGAUGGAGGGGGAUAACUACUGGAAACGGUAGCUAAUACCGCAUACCAUCAGAUGUGCCCAGAUGGGAUUAGCUAGUUGGUGGGGUAACGGCGCACCAAGGAGACGAUCCCUAGCUGGUCGGAGAGGAUGACCAUCAACACUGGAACUUGGCCACGGUCCAUACUCCUACGGGAGGGAGCGGUGGGGAAUAUUGCACAAGUGGCGCAAGCCUGAUGCCGCCAUGCCGCGUGUAUGAAGAAGGCCUUCGGGUUGUAAAGUACGUUCAGCGGGGAGGCGUUAUCCGCAGAAGAAGCACCGGCGAACCCCGGGCCCGCAGCCGCGGUAAUUC